UACGAAGGGGGGCUAGCGUUGCUCGGAAUCACUGGGCGUAAAGCGCACGUAGGCGGCUUUCUAAGUCAGGGGUGAAAUCCUGGAGCUCAACUCCAGAACUGCCUUUGAUACUGGAGAGCUUGAGUCCGGAAGAGGUGAGUGGAACUCCGAGUGUAGAGGUGAAAUUCGUAGAUAUUACGGAAGAAACACCAGUGGCGAAGGGCGGCUCACUGGGUCCAGUACUGACGCUGAUGUGCGAAAGCGUGGGGAGCAAACAGG
rnacentral:rRNA from 1 species